GUCUCUCCUCCCUCGAGAACUCAUAUAAGGAGUCGUCGCGACGUCUUGCCGCAUCCCUUCGCCCGCUUCGCCGACCGGCGAGGAUGGCCUAGGUCGUGUGGCGGAGGAUCCGGAGGUUGAAGAGAGUUCUUGGAUUGCAUGGUGUUCCCCGAGGGCCCGGAACCGACUCGGUCGAUGGAUCGGCUCGGCUCGGCGAUCCCCACGAACGAUGCAAAGCGUGCGAUUCCUCGUCUUCAGAUCGAUGCCCUAGAUGAUUAUAUGGUGAAAGAGGGAAACUUGUUUUGAUCUUAGAAGUGCCUUAUCAGAAUCUAAUCAAUUUAAUAUUGUUGCAGAUCCUAGUAGAUUUCUUGUCUUUCUCUCUUUAUUGAUUUAUUUUGCCCUAUAAUUCGUUGAACCUCCGUAAGGUAAGGCAAAGAACAUCCAGAGCGAGAGUAUGUAAAUCUCGCCAUGAGAGGUCUACUAUUUUUAGGUUUCUUGAUGAUUGUGGCUUGUUCCCAUUCAUCUUCCUGCUUGUCAAUCUUUCUGUUUCAGUUGCAAUACCCAUUGUCAAACCCAAAGAAGAUUGUCGGUUCAACUUCAGCUACCAGAAUGUUACACUUCAUCCCCAUUGCUGAAAUAUAACCAAUGGCUGAAGUCCAAAUCAAGCUGUGUGUGUUUCCGUUCUGUUUCUUUCUUUCUUAGUCCUGAUGAUGGAUAUCGCUAGACAGCUAAAAAGACUGACUUGCGUGCAUGUAUAGGCGCCUUAGCAGUGAGACCAACACUAAUGGGCUAAUUUGAUAGUCGUGGUUGUAUCAUAAUUGGUUGUUUAUACAAAUAAGUAUUUGGUCAGAAUAUGUCCCCCUGAUGAAGCAAUGUGGACCUUGUGGCUUUUUGAAUAGCUAGACGUGGCUUAGUUUCAACCAUAUCUGUAGAACCUCACUGAUGAGCUAGAGACAGCUCAUGGUUGAAAUAUCAGCUGUGUGCUUGUGUUAUCUUUUUUUUCUUUUUUUUUUUGCAAAAUUACAUUGCUUGAUAAACUUUCAAUCAAAUUCAAAAUACAGUCAUUGUCUCUCUGUAAUCAUAAAAUCAGUAGGUACUUCAUUUUUCUUUAGUUCUUUUUUUUAUUUUUGCAAAAUUACAUUGCUUGAUAAACUUUCAAUCAUAUUCAAAAUACAGUCUUUGUCUCUCUGUAAUCAUAAAAUCAGUAAGUACUUCAUUUUUCUUUAGCUUUUUUUUUAUUUUUGCAAAAUUGUAUUGCUUGAUAAACUUUCAGUCAAAUUCAAAAUAUAGUCUUUGUCUCUCUGUAAUCAUAAAAUCAGUAGGUACUUCAUUUUUCUUUAGUUCUUUUUUUUUUUUUGCAAAAUUACAUUGCUUGAUAAACUUUCAAUCAUAUUCAAAAUACAGUCUUUGUCUCUCUUGAAUCAUAAAAUCAGUAAGCACUUCAUUUUUCUUUAGUUUUUUUUUAUUUUUGCAAAAUUGUAUUGUUUGAUAAACUUUCAGUCAAAUUCAAAAUACAGUCUUUGUCUCUCUAUAAUCAUAAAAUCAAUAGGUACUUCAUUUUUCUUUAGUACUUUUUUUUAUUUUUGUAAAAUUACAUUGCUUGAUAAACUUUCAGUCAAAUUCAAAAUACAGUCUUUGUCUCUCUGUAAUCAUAAAAUCAGUAGGUACUUCAUUUUUCUUUAGUUCUUUUUUUAUUUUUGCAAAAUUGCAUUGCUUGAUAAACUUUCAGUCAAAUUCAAAAUACAGUCUUUGUCUCACUUACAGUGUCGCUUAUACGCUCUCUAUGACAGAUGUAGUACUGUGAAACUAUAUACUUUACCGUUUGAAGUGUGCUCUUUUUUUGUGAUCGUAUAGAUGUCUUAAGUUGUUAUUGGUGGGCCUUUUGAAUCACAAAUCAAGCAUAUUUAUUCAGCAUAAAGCAUCCUUAAUGAGAUCCAUAAUGAUAUCAUGUGUGGUCCUGGCAUUUGAAUGACAUUUAAAUGCUUGAAAAUGAAUUAUUUGAUGAAGUAAUUUAUUUUUAUUGAUCCUUGCUCCUUAAAAGGUCCUAAAGUUUUCCUUGAGUUGCUCAAAUAUUAGUUAAUUUGAACAUUGUCUUAUUCCUUCUGCAGUUUAUCACAUGACCUAAUGUGAAACUCCAGUUGCUUGGUGCCCAUCAGCUUCAAGACAGCAUUAUGUCUUCGUAUUCAAGGUGAUAUCUUCUUUUCUAUUUUGUGUGAAUAUUCAACUGAGGAGAGAAUGAACGUAGAACCUUUACAUCCAAGAUUCUUCUUUGAGCUACGAUAGUUCUGUGAAUGAUGAUUUUAAGCUGGUGUUUUCAUAAGUAGGUCUAGGUAUAAGCCUGUGA
rnacentral:lncRNA from 1 species